UAAGGGUCCUGAAGGAACGUUGAAGACGACGACGUUGAUAGGCCGGGUGUGUAAGCGCAGCGAUGCGUUGAGCUAACCGGUACUAAUGAACCGUGAGGCUUAACCUUACAACGCCGAAG
rnacentral:rRNA from 1 species